AAAUAUUUAAAAAAUUACUGAUUUUUGUCAGAAAUGGAUUUUUUGAAUGACAAAAAAAGUUUUCUCUGGAAAAGAAUCAUUUUACUUUCCACUAAACUAACGGCAUAAUAGGUAAUGCCUUUUUUUUUCCCCUUGUUUUUUAUUUUCUUUGUUAGAACCAAGUCCGUGACUCCUGAGUUGGAAGCAGCAGCAUCUGCUGUUGCAGAUUUUCUCCGUUUUGAUAAGCAGACAACCAAGUCAGAGCUGCUCAGGCAACUGCAGCAGCAUGAGGAAGUCUCAAAGGCACAGAAAGAUGGAGAAAGAACUAAAGUUAGCGUCAGUAACGUAAUACCAGAUAUGAAAGUUGCCAAAUCUGCCACAGGUAGAGUUAGUACAAGACCAGUGCAUCAAAUUCAUUUUAAUGAAGGAACUGAUAGUUUCAUGGGACAGAAGACUGAUGAUCUUAAGAAAAGUCUUAGGAAAAAUAUGCUCAAAAGGAAGAGACUUAAUAUUUUUGACCUUAAGGCAGUUACCGAAGAGGCACCUGAAACAGGUUCGUUCCACUGCUGCAAAGGAUGUAGUCAUAGACCUUUCUACUUACCCUGCAGUAAUUUAGAACUGAGAGAGACAGCACCUUCACCUUGGGACGUGGAAUUUGCGAAGCAGUUGGCCAUGGUAAAUGAACAGCCCCUUCAGAAUGGUUUUGCAGAGAUGAUCCAGUGGACCAAAGAGGGGAAGCUGUGGGAGUUUCCAAUUGACAAUGAAGCCGGGAUAUGAGACACCCGUCAUAAGCUCCGGAGAGUUGCCUUCCACAGAGACCAGCAGAGGAGUGGGCCAACAUGAAGUCCAGUCCUGCCAUCCAAGCAGCCAUUGACCUCAUAGCGGGGGCUGCAGAGAGAGACGACAAGCAGGGGGCAGUGGCAGGGAGAGGGCGAAGCAGCUUCCCCACAGAACAGAGGAAGCCUAAUAAGGGACUCAAUCCCAGGACCCCAGAACCAUAACCUGAGCUGAAGGCAAUCACCCCACAAACUGAGACACCCAG